rnacentral:lncRNA from 1 species
GCACAAGGCCUUCUCAUGCAGCCUUCUCUCUCAAAUAAAAUAGUGUGCACGCCCCCUCUUCAUUUUUUCUUUUAAAUCAGUGCAACCGUGUCUUUAUUGCGUGAGAGGAUAAAGCUAGGUGGUUGCUCACUUGAAUUCAAAUUGAAUUUGAAUUCAAAUGCCAACCAACCAAUCUUUAUCCACUCUUGGCAUGAGAAGAGAGUGGCAUGGGCUUCUUUAUGUGUGGAGAGUUUACAUGAGAAACUUUUUCUCAUGUGGAGGAAGUGGCACACAAGUGGAUAAGGUGGCACAUGGGAUUAGUUG